rnacentral:rRNA from 1 species
AUGUCGUACGCGCGAAGAGCACGGUGGUCGCGGAGACGAGGAGGCCGCGGAGGACCUGCGUGGUGGCGCAGAGGUCGCGGUGGCUCGGCGCGACAAUCGUGGAGGCGCGUGGCAUGGAGCCGCGGCGGACCCGACGGACCUGUGCGGUGGCGCGGCGUGGUGGCAUGGAGGCACUGCAUGGCGGCAUGGAGGCCGCGGCAGUGCAGGGCAAUAAGACGCGGCGGCGAGCCGGGCGCGACCGGUGCGUGUUAUGGGUGCGCACUGGACGCGUCGGGACCGCGGGCGCGCGUACGAGCGUGCGGUUGA